rnacentral:rRNA from 1 species
AAUUGGACCUGAUAUGCAGGCUGAGAG